GGUCAGGUUUCCGUAGGUGAACCUGCGGAAGGAUCAUUGU
rnacentral:rRNA from 1 species